GACGAACGCUGGCGGCGUGCCUAAUACAUGCAAGUAGAACGCUGAAGAGAGGAGCUUGCUCUUCUUGGAUGAGUUGCGAACGGGUGAGUAACGCGUAGGUAACCUGCCUGGUAGCGGGGGAUAACUAUUGGAAACGAUAGCUAAUACCGCAUGAUAUUAAUUGUUGCAUGAUAAUUAAUUGAAAGAUGCAAUUGCAUCACUACCAGAUGGACCUGCGUUGUAUUAGCUAGUUGGUGAGGUAACGGCUCACCAAGGCGACGAUACAUAGCCGACCUGAGAGGGUGAUCGGCCACACUGGGACUGAGACACGGCCCAGACUCCUACGGGAGGCAGCAGUAGGGAAUCUUCGGCAAUGGACGAAAGUCUGACCGAGCAACGCCGCGUGAGUGAAGAAGGUUUUCGGAUCGUAAAGCUCUGUUGUAAGAGAAGAACGAGUGUGAGAGU
rnacentral:rRNA from 1 species